AUCCUUCUGGUGUGCCUCAAUCUUCAGAUCAUGCGGUAGAAAGAAGCUUUGCGGCAAUACCUCCAUGGAGAAGAGAGCUUGAAAAGCCAUUCGUCCCUCUUCAGAGACCUCCUUCCAUGAAUCACUCAUGUUGCUACUACUUCUACUUCGACGGCUACUAGACUUGGUAGCUGGAUGAUUUGUAUCAGCUUCGUUUGACUCUUCCUCUUCUUUCUCAAGCUUCUCUAAUGCGUCUGUCUCUACUUCACCACUAGAAGAUGUGUUCGAACCACACGAAGAACGGUCAACCUGUUUUCUGUUUUU
rnacentral:misc_RNA from 1 species